GGGUAAUAUAAUGACAGUAGACGGGAGACCAGGGGAGAGUAGGGUAAUAUAAUGACAGGAGAGACCAGGGUAAUAUAAUGACAGUAGAGGGGAGACCAGGGGAGAGUAGGGUAAUAUAAUGACAGUAGAUGGUAGACCAGGGUAAUAUAAUGACAGUAGAUGGUAGACCAGGGUAAUAUAAACCAGGGUAAUAUAGACCAGGGUAAUAUAAUGACAGUAGAUGGUAGACCAGGGUAAUAUAAUGACAGUAUAUGGUAGACCAGGGUAAUAUAAUGACAGUAGAUGGCAGACCAGGGUAAUAUAAUUACAGUAGAGUUUAGACCAGGGUAAUGUAAUGACAGGGGAUGGUAGACCAGGGUAAUAUAAUGACAGUAGAUGGUAUCCAGGGUAAUAUGAUGACAGUAGAGUUUAGACCAGGGUAAUAUAAUAACAGGGGAUGGUAGAUCAGGGUAAUAUAAUGACAGUAGAUGGUAGACCAGGGUAAUAUAAUGACACUGGAUGGUAGACCAGGGUAAUAUAAUGACAUUAGAGGCCAGGGUAAUAUAAUGACAGUAGAUGGUAGACCAGGGUAAUAUAAUGACAGUAGAGGGGAGACCAGGGUAAUAUAAUGACAGUAGAGUUUAGACCAGGGUAAUAUAAUGACAGGGGAUGGUAGACCAGGGUAAUAUAAUGACAGUAGAUGG
ensembl:lncRNA